UACAUGUGGGGCAAGCGUUGUUCGGAAUUACUGGGCAUAAAGCGUGCGCAGGCGGUUUUGCAAGCCGGAUGUGAAAUCCCCGGGCUCAACCUGGGAAUGGCAUUCGGGACUGCAAGGCUGGAGUGCGGCAGAGGAGACUGGAAUUCCUGGUGUAGCAGUGAAAUGCGUAGAUAUCAGGAGGAAUACCGAUGGCGAAGGCAGGUCUCUGGGCUGACACUGACGCUCAUGCACGAAAGCGUGGGGAGCAAACAGG
rnacentral:rRNA from 1 species